AUUCCUCCGUGACCUUCAAAGGCCAGAUGAAUCCCACCCCACUUUCCACAGAUCUUUCUUCCUACCAGCCCAGCCACUGCAACCUCUCCCUCUUUGAAACGCCUGCAAGGCUGUUGUUUAUUUUUUUUAGGUUGUAAAUGGCAGAGAAACCAACUUCAGUGGGCUUAGCAAGAGGGGCUGUUUAUUGGCUGGAGCACACGUAUGGUGGGAGACCACGAAAUAAAGCCAUUCCGGGAUGGUGUGAUGGAUGCUUUACCGAACCUAAAAGGAGACGAAGGAGUCCUUCUGGAUGAGGUUCAGCUGAGAUCCCAGUGGAUGCCAUGUUCCAAAGCGGAGCCUGAGGCCCCACACAGGAGGUGGUGGAGAUCAAAGCUGUUUUUCGGUAAACAGCGAGGACCUGCCAUAUAACACAGGGACCUACAUUCAAUAUCUCGUACCUAUAAUGGAAAAGAAUCGGAAAAGGAAUAUAUAUGUAUGUAUAUAUAUAUGUAUUUAUAUUUAUAUAUGACUGAACCAUCUUGCUAUACACCUGAAACUAACACAACAUUGUAAAUCAACUAUACUUCAAUUAAAAACAUGAAAAAUAAAAGUAACAAACCCAUUGCA
ensembl:lncRNA